rnacentral:rRNA from 1 species
GAUGAACGCUGGCGGCGUGCCUAAUACAUGCAAGUCGAGCGAACAGACGCGGAUCUUGCUCCUCUGACGUUAGCGGCGGGCGGGUGAGUCACACGUGUAUCCCGUCCCUAUCAGACUGAGAUCACUACGGGAAACCGGCUCUAACACCGGAUGAUAUAUUGCACCGCAUGGGUCGUUGGUGAGAGACGGCUUUUCUGGCUCUACUAGAUGGUUCCGCGCUGUUUUGGCUAGUUGUUAAGGUCACGGCCUACCAAGGCAACCAUGCGUGGACGCCCUGAGGGGGUGGUCGGCCACCCGAGAAGUGAGACAGGGACAAGACGACUACGGGAGGCAGCAGUAGGGAAUCGUCGGCAAUGGGCGAAAGCAUGACGGAGCAAGGCCGAGUGAGUGAUGAAGGUCUUCGGAGCGUAAAGAUGUGUUAGUAGGGAUGAACAAAUGUGGAAGUAACCAUGGACGUCUUGACGGUACCGAAUCAAAAAGCCACGGCUAACUACGUG